UACGGAGGGUGCAAGCGUUAUCCGGAUUCACUGGGUUUAAAGGGUGCGUAGGUGGGCAGGUAAGUCAGUGGUGAAAUCUCUGGGCUCAACUCAGAAACUGCCAUUGAUACUAUUUGUCUUGAAUACCGUGGAGGUCAGCGGAAUAUGUCAUGUAGCGGUGAAAUGCUUAGAUAUGACAUAGAACACCAAUUGCGAAGGCAGCUGGCUACACGAAUAUUGACACUGAUGCACGAAAGCGUGGGGAUCAAACAGG
rnacentral:rRNA from 1 species